rnacentral:misc_RNA from 1 species
UCCGGUUUGUCACCGGCAGUCUCGCAUGAGUCCCCAACUUAAUGCUGGCAACAUGCGACGGGGGUUGCGCUCGUUGCGGGAUUUAACCCAACAUCUCACGACACGAGCUGACGACAACCAUGCACCACCUGUGCACGACCCUUACGGACCCACCAUCUCUGGAGGAUUUCCGUGCAUGUCAAGCCUAGGUAAGGUUCUUCGCGUUGCAUCGAAUUAAGCAACAUGCUCCGCCGCUUGUGCAGGUCCCCGUCAAUUCCUUUAUGUUUUAGCCUUGCGGCCGUACUCCCCAGGCGGGGAACUUAAUGCGUUAGCUGCGACACGGAAUCCGUGGAAUGGACCCCACAUCUAGUUCCCAACGUUUACGGCGUGGACUAC